rnacentral:lncRNA from 1 species
UCCAUUAUGCCGACAUUUGGGGUCAACGGGAAGGGUCGGAACUAAUUCCGCCAGGACCGAAGGACAUUUGCUGCAAUGAAGUGAAUGAAAUGUCCAACCUGUUGGUUUCUGAAAAAGAGGAGAAAAUUAUAAACAUAGACAGUCAAAGUGAAUCCAAUGCUCGGAACUCUUUUUCAGCCUACGGUUCAAUGGAUUCGGGUUUAUUUGAUGAUUACGAGAAUGAAAUUAGGCAAGAACUAAGAUGGCUCAAAGCCAAGUACCAAAUGCAGUUGAGAGAACUUAGAGACCAACAAUUAGGAGUUAAACCGAGAUAUCCUAGCUUGCCCCAAAGUUUCAACGACUUGUCGAAUGACAACGAUAACAAAACCGCUUCCCUAUCUUCGAUCUUGACAUCCCCUAACAGAGAAAGCCUAAAACCGUUACCUUCCGGAAAGCAUCGUACUCCAUAUUUCCCUCCUACUGCCAGGAAAAAAUGUGCCAGUUCUGCAAGCCAAAACAUCCAAAACACCGAAACACUCAGCUCAUUGUAUGAUCCGGAGACAGUAUCCACUGCCAAGAGUUUCUACAGUGGCGCAUUGCUUCCGCACCCGCUUCACCGCGCGUCAUCACUUCCGGUCGAUGCUGUGGACGUGUAAAGGCUGCCAAGUUUUUUUAAUUAUUGUAAAGUACCUACCUACCCCCCCCCCCUUCCCCCUUACAUUAAAAGUAUUUAAAAGGUUCCACAUAGUUUUCAUCUAAUCCCACAUUGAUUCAUUGUCUUUAAGAGCAUUUGACUUCGAGGACAUUUUUUGCAGCAGCUCCCAUGGCAUGCCAAUGUACAUUUUAUCAUCAUCAUCAUCAUCAUAAUAAUAAUAGUGUUGAUGAUGGCAGCUAGGGUUUAGUAGUCUCUACAUUCCAUCCACACAAUUUAUUCAACUCCCCCACCCUAUCCAAAUAGAUUUAAUUUCCAAAAUGUUAUAGCUCAUAAAGACCUGCAACCACAUGUAUGAAAGUUCAAUUUACCAUAUUAUUCCCACAACUGGACAAUUGUGGUCCAUAGGGGUGACCAAAUCCAUUUAAUCAAUGGUUUUUUGGUUAAAUUGGUCCGGUUAAAUCGAUUUACAUUGUUUCCGCUACAAUAUCGUGAAGUGAAUGGAUUUUAACGCAUUUAAAAUGCAUAAUAUCUUUCUUUUUCGGUCUUGAAGAAUUAUGAGUAGUUUAAGACUUACAUAAAAUAAACUAAUUGACUUAAUCGACUUCUAAUAUAUAUAUUUCUUUUGAUAAAAACUAAAUUCAACUCCAUUCAAAUCAAAAGGCUUAAUUAGUCGAUGUCAAGUCUAAUAAUUAGAUUGAUUAAUCGCUUAAAAUAUAAAAAUUACCAAUUAAAUUGAUUUUUUCAAAAAAAAAUAAUAAACCCGAUUAGACUCGAUUUUGAAUUUAUUCGAUAUCUUAAAAUAGGGGUGUAAAAGAAGAGUAGGAUGGUCCAAGGAUAUUUGAUUGUUUAGUUGGUGGAGGAGUGGAUGUAUGUCACCGACCUAACUUCGGCGCCUUGUGACUAUUUAUCUGCGUGAACUACUUGUCAACUUGGUUAGAUAUUUAUUUUAUUUAUUUAUUUUAAUUUAUUUAUUUUGUUUAUUUACUUAAAUAUUUCUCCGUUCCCUUUACGAUUUUUUAUAUAAUGUCUAAAAUUAUUUAUAGUUCCUUUUCAACCUUUAAAUAAGAAUAUAAUACGCUUUAACACACUCGAACUCAUGUCCUCUUGCACAGAUAACAAUACUGAUAUCAAUUGAGCUAAGAUUCAAUCGACCCUACGUUUUUAAUUUACUGUGGAUUAUAUAUUAUGCAUAUUUAGAUGCUCAUUGUAACUCUCUACGUAUACUAUUAUGAAUAUUUUAUAUGUUAUUUUUAGAUUUAUUUUAAAUUUAAAUUCAGAUUUUUAUAAAUUUUAUAUAAAAAGGAAAAAAAUAUCUUUAUAAUAAUAUUUGUUAUUUAUAAAAAAGAUUGAUUUUUAAUAGUUUUUUGGACUGGAUUAGUAUUCGAUUAACUCAUGAAACAUCAACUUCAACUCCUAAAUUAGAAGAAAAACACGCUUAAACGUGUUUAAAUCUAUGUCAUCUUGAUUAUUGUAAUAACAGAGGUGCGGAUUCAACAUUAGUAUCUUAAAUAAUAGCCAUUUAAUGUCAAUAGUAAUGUAAGUGGAUAAUAAUAAAAAUUGUUGAGUUGUUGGUAAAAAUAUCGUGAAAGUUCUUAUAUUAGAAGUCAGAUUAUAUUUUGUCUUUUUUAAUCAAAAAAUAUGUAAAUUAAUCUAUAUACGUCAAAUUAAAGAGCAAAAUGAUUCUAUUAAAAAAUUCUAUUCGUUUUCUAUAUAUAUUAGUAUGAAAUACACAUGACACAUUACGUAUCACUAUUUGGUCCUUCGAUAGCAUUUUAACCUUGUGUUGUUAAAUUCAAUGUUGAGUUUCCCAUACUUUCACGUCGAGAGGAUCAUGGUAAGUUGGAGGCCUAAUUCAAGCAUGGGUUAGUCUUAUUCUAUCCUAAAAUUUUAAGAUUGUUGAUACGAAAUUUUAAAUCUCAAUGUACACGCGAUGUUACGGCGAGGAAGCAUGAGACGUUAUUAUGUAUUCCUAAAGUAAGCAUUCGUGUUUUAGACUCCAAAUAGGGUUCCGUCUUCCAGUUGAACUUUGAUUACUUUAAGUAUAUUUUAGUCUUUUUAGCCCUUCAAUUUUGUCAUAUUUAAAUGGGUCAUUGUAUCCCUAUAAUCACAUGGCUUUUUUGAUAAGAGACAAUAUGUAAUCACAUAUGAGUUUUGGUGAGAGUUUUUGUGGUAAUAUGAAAAACAUUUUGUACCCCUUUUGAGAACUCUAUGAGAGUUAUGGUUUUGUUUUCGAGUUUGUUUUAUAAGAGUUAGGGCUUUGUUUUCGAGGUUUAGGUUUGCAUAUUUAAUAUAUUUAGAUUUAUUUUCUUCAUAUUAUACUCUCGUUUUGCUUACUCAUUUAUUUUUUCAAUAUUUUUUAUUUUUCUCUUUCAUUGUUUAUUCGAGUUCAUCCCAACAAAAAUCCGAAAAAAAGUGGAACAUUUUUAUAAAAUAUUAAUUUUUGAGUCAUUAAAUACUGUGAGUUGUAGUGACAGUAAACGUAACUUUCAUAAAUCUUAAAAAGGGUUAGGUGUGUGCAUUGUACCAGCCGUCGACACCAAGGAAAAAAAAAAAAAAAAAAGAGCAAUAAGUAGGCAUGGGGAAAGUGCUUUAUACUUACACGUAUUAGAUAUUCCUUUAUUACCUUUUCCAACUUUUUGAUGUUAUCAACACAAUAUAAAUAUCCAAAUUUAUGAAACACAAAUUAUUUAAUAUAAAAUAUAUUCAAGGUGAAAAUUAAAUUAUAAUUUGUACGAUAGUAAAAAUAUAAUUUCACUAUUUUAAUAGUUUAAUUUUAUAAUUUUUAAAAGAUUAAAUUAAAUUUUUAUUAUUUUUAAGGAGGCCAAAGUGUAAUUUUUAUCUUUAUUAACUUAAAUUUUUAAAAAUUUUUAAAAAGUUUAAAUAAAAAAUUUUCCAUUUUAGGAGUAGGACCCCCAUGAAUAUAUAAAAUAUAAUUGAGAUUUGUAAUAAAUAUAAAUUUUAAUCUACUAUUAGAAAUUCUCUCAAACAUGUAUAUAUGUGAAAAUUACGUAUUUUAAACAUGAAUGUAUGUUUAAAAUAACAUAUACUAAAUAAUGUAAUGUGUGGUUUGAAAUUAAUUAAUAAUAACACGUGAAAUAUGUCCGAUAUUAAAAUGAAAAAAAAUAGAUUAAAUUGUAAGGAAAACGAAUUUUAAAUAUAUAAAGACAUCAUAUUAAGAAUACUAAAUGAAUACGUUAACCCUAAAUUGACAUCGAGUUAAUUUGUGACACAAAGACAAUAAAUAAUAAUAUUAAUAUAUGUAAUUGAUGAAGAUAAUAAAUUAUGCAUAAUAAAAUUUAAAGGCGUAAAAAAUUAAAAUAGAGCUUUGGUUAAGUAUUCAAGGUUCCAUCAAUGCAUUUUUUUAAAAUAAAAAGACUGUAAUACCCUAAAAUUACUUAACGUAUUCUUAAUACGAAAGGAUGUAUUUAUGAUUUUCUUAAUUGAAUUAGUGUUUGAUUAACUCAUAACAUUGACUUAAAUCGGUUCUAGACUCGAUCUAAAGUUAGGUUGUCAACUACCUUUGGAUCCUUUAUCUCUACAUCAAAUUAUGCUUUCUUGACUGUGUUUCUUGGAAGGUAUGUGUCUCCAAAAAAUUGUCCUUCUUGCAGAUGCAAGGAACCUACAAAUCAAAGGACCACCAACUUUUUUUUCCAAUUAGAAAGAUCACAAAAUCAAUUUAGGUUUUUGUUUCUGUGACGUAAUUGAAUUAAAGAAUUAGGUUUAGUUUCGACAGAUGGUGCGUUUAUGUUCGAUGAGACUAAAAAUAGCAGUAGUGUUGAGAUUAGUUACUGUAGCGAUGAAAUGGUGGGGUGUUUAUUUAAAUUCAAACACAGUUAUAAUGGUGAGGUGAGAAUAGAAAAUAAUUAUUAAGGAUAUUAGAUUACAAAUGAUAUGUAAUAAAUACUAAAUAAAAAUAUUGAAGACCUUUACAUCGGAAAUAUGAAAAUAAUUUAAUUUUUUUAAUUAUAAAAAAUACAUAUUAAAUUUAAUAUUAAGAUAAUAUAUAUUAAAUUAAUAAUAUUAUUUGAAAUUUUUAAAUAAAAAAAAUCAGAUAUAAAAGGAUAAAAGAAAAAAAGAAAAAAGCAUGGAUGAAAUAGUACUUUCCAUCUCUCAAAUGGAGUUGCAUAUUAGUCUUGUAUUUUGAUUCGAAGUAAUUUAAAAUUUUUUAAUUAUUAAUGCAUUGUUUCGGAUUCGGAGUUGGAUUGAGAAUCAAUUAAAAUAUCGAUUUAGAAAGUAAUUUUGAAUCGGUUAAAUAGAGAAUCGGUAUAAAUCAAUUGACUUUACGUUUAAAUAAUUUUUUUUAAUAAUUUUAAUAAUUUUCUAAUCGAAUCAGUAAAUUACUUGAUCAAUUCGACUACUAAUAGUGAAUUUUUGAAUGAUAAAAUUAAAAUUCAAUACUUAUUUAAUAAAUUAAGCGAGGAGUAAAAUUAAUUAAUAAUUAAUUAUCUUUUAUUAAAAAAUAAAAGUUUUGUCAUCUCUCUAUCCUUUUUUUUAAACAAAGGUUAAAAUUUUAAUAAUAAUGUUAUUUUAAAAAUGAAAAAUGAAAAAUAUAUUUUAAAAAUAAAAAGAAUAAAGAUUAUUUAAUAGAACUUAUUUCUAAAAAAAAUGUUAAUUAUUAUAUUAUUUAUAAUGUUUAUGAAAUAUUAUUUAUUAUUUGUUAUUUUAUAAGUUAAGAAUACAUAAAAGACAAACAACUUUAUAGAUUACGUAAAAAAUUUAAUUAAUUAAUAAAAUGACUUGGACCAAAAAUUAUUUAAGAAAAUCACCCGUUCGCUAUAGUGAUAUUCGAUGUUGCCUGACCAACUGAUGAUACCAUUAAUUUUCUGACCCAAUCAUUGCCCAAUCCUCAGCUUUAAAAAAAGAAAAAAAUUUUGCCACCUUCGUGUCAAGUAUAUGUAUUUUUUGAAAUACCCGUAAAAAAAUAUAGAUACUCAUGGUGGAGAAAAAAAGAAAAAUAUAUAUUUUUUAAUAGGUGCCAUCGAUGUGUCAAGCGACAUUGGUAAAUUUUUUUAAAAAUAAAAUUCUAUCAAUUAAAAUAAAUUGGGAAAAAAUACGAAAAUAUAAUAAAUUUUUUAAUGUGUGCCUCUUGAUAGUCCGACAACAUCUAUUAUAUUUUUCCUAGGUUAUUUUAAUUGACAAAAAAUUUCAAAAAAAUGACCGAUGCCGCCUGUCACAUUGGCAACACCCAUUAAAUUUUUUUCUUUUUUUUUUCACCGUGAAUACUCGUAUUUUUUUAUGAAUAUUUCAAAAAAUACAUACGAGUGACGCCUGACAUAGUGACGAUACAAAAAAAAUUAUUUUUCUUUAAAAGCUGACAUAGUGACAUAUGAAUGGCGUAGGUUGGUCAAAUAGCAUCGAAUUUCAUUGUAGCGAACAAGUUAUUUUUUUAAAUAAUUUUUUAUCUAUGUAUUUUCUUAAUUAAUUAAUACUUUUAAGUUAUUUAUGUAAAAAAUCACUAUUUUUGAAUAAAUAAAUUAUGUAAAAAAGAGUUUUUGGUGUUAUAACAUAGCCCUGUUCAUGGGCUGGGUUACUUGCUUAAGCCCGCCUAAAAUUUUGAGAGGGUUUGAGCAAUAAAUUAGGCCUAUUUGAAAUAUGGGCUGGGCUUGAACAUUUAAGGCUUGGCCUGACUAAUUUUAAGUUUAUACUACUUUAUAUUAUGUUAUUUAAAACACAUUAAAAAAAAUAAGUUUAUACUAAAUAUAUAAUACUACUCUGAUGUAAACAUUAAAAUAAUAUUAAGAUAACUAUGUAAAAAAUUUCAAUAAAUAAAAAAUAUAUAAAAUUAUUAAAUUUUAAAAUAAAAAUUAAAAAUUUCAAAAAUAAUAUGAGCUGGCCUAAAAUAGACUUAAGUUAGUUUUUUGUAAAUAUGGGCGGGUUUGGGCAGAAUUGCAGGCCUAUGUUUCAGGCAGAGUUGAGCUUCGGUAAUUAUAAAGUAUAUUAAUAUCAUGCUUAUACUUAGUCCGAACUCGACCUGACCUGACCCCCAAACACAUCUAUUAUAACAUCACAUAUCAUAAAAAUUAAAAUAUUAUUCAUAAAUUUGGUGUUGAAUUUAAACAAAGGAAACAUGUUAUGUGUUAAUCUCUAAUUUUCCACUAGUUUGGUUUCCUCCAUUGCUGUGUUCAAUUUUUUCUUCCCUUUUCUCAAAUUUUCCUCUGCUUUCUCGCUGGUAACUUCAGAACCUGGAUGAUUGGUGUCUUAUGUUAAACCUAGUUCAGUAUGAGAGCUUGAGAAUUGACGAUGACACUGAUUUUAUAGGACAGAGAAAAGAAUUUCUCAGCCUUUAUUCAUUUAUGCCUACAUUUUAUGUAAGUUUCAAAAAUGGUAUUGGUACUUGAAAAAAAUUAAUAAACAAAUGGUGUUGGUAUACUUUCAAAAUAAGUUCUUAUACUUGUUUUUACGGUGAUGGAGCCAGAAAAUUUAUUUUGGGGGAUUGAAAUUAAAUUUUAUAUUUUUAUGAAAGUAAAAAUGUAAUUUUAAUCAUUUUAAUAGUCUAAUCUUUUUAUAAUUUUUAAAGAGUUAAAUUAAAUUUUUAUCAUUUUUAGAGAUUAAAGUACAAUUUUAUCAUUACUAAUCUAAAACUUUAUAAAUUAUAAAGGACCUAAACUAAAAUUUUACCAUUUUAAGACCUGUUCAGCAUAUGUACUUGUAUACUUAUUCAGCAUUCAAUUCCAAGUGACUACUAUGUACUUGUAUACUUGUUCAGCAUUCAAUUCCAAAUUUGAUGGGCAGGGAUGGCUCAGGCUGGUAUUUGGUAAAAAUUUAGGCCCAUUUUCAAGUUAAACUUAUCAAUAAAUUUAAAAUUCUAUUAUGGUUCGAAUUAGCUUAAAUUUGCAUCUAACUCAGUCUAUGAUUAUCUUUAGUCUGAAUUUGAUCUGAUUUGACUCAAAAAAUGAACCUAAAAUAUUGAUCUGAAACUCGACCUGGCUUGUUCGUGUUAAUUUUUUAGAUUAUUUUGUAUAUAAAAAUAAAUUUCAAAAACAUAAUACAUCAAAUACACUAAAAAUAUUAACAUAAAUGUUUUCUAACAAAUUAAAAAAAAUUAAAAAAAGUUGAAAUACUUGAAUAAAAUUAAGACAGUUGCAACUUAACAAACAAAACAACAAUGAAAAAGAAAGUUUAGACUAAUUUAGGCUGGGUUGGGCUGAAAAACCUUACUCAAAGCUUGACCCAUUUAAAAGACAGAUUUUUUUUUUAUCUAAACUCAUUUUUCAGACCUAUAUUUUUAUUCAAAUACUCUCACUUUUAAGGUAAAUCUUUAGGUCUAGACGAGUGACUUGACUCAUGACCAGAUCUAAUUAGAAUUCUAUUGAUGGCAGCAUACUAACUUAAUAAGUGCUUUAUAAAUAAAAUAAUAUUUGAAAUCAAAUUUUCCAAUAUUAAUUAGUCUACACUCACUAUUUGGGUGAUAGAAAUAAAAAUAAUAUAAAAAUAAAUAGUAAUUAUUGAUAAAAUAAUAAAAUAAAAAAUAGUAAUUAUUAAAGUACAUGCUCAAACUUAAGGGUUUUUCUAAUCAAAAUAAUAAAAAAUAAUUAUGAAAAAGAUAUAAGAUAUAAGUUAAUUACAAAAAUAAAUAUUUUUUUACAGUGUUAUUGGGUGCUGCUAAUCUGGCAAGCGAUAUCACCUUAAAUUUCACAUUCUAAUCUAUUAAUCAUUAUUGAAGGGAAUUUUUUUUUUAAGUGGUGUCGCUAAAGAAUAUAGCGCUAAAGAAUACACAAGUAUUAUCUCUAGAUAAAAAAUAAAUAUCAUACGGGAAAAAAAUAUUUUUUUAAAGUGAUACUGCCAAUAUAACAAACAGUAUCUCUUUAAAUUACUAUUAUAAAAUUUUGGAAGUAACUUAAAAAAGUAAUAAAUAAGGAUUUUAUCCCUAUCCCAAUGUCAACUAUUUCAGUUCAUUUACGUUGGGUUCUGGAAAUAAAAGGUAGCUGUUUGUGUCUUUUAAUGGUGAUGAUAGCUCAACAUGAUUAAUAUCAAUAAAAGAUACAUAUUUUUUAUAACAACAAAUUUCUUCAAGUAGCUACUUUGAUUGUCCUUGACCCUUUGGGACCAUUCCUUUCUACUACGCAUAUUACCGAUAAUUGAAAUAAUUGGGGUGUCCAUGGCCACUUAAAUUGCCACUGACUCAUCAGCCACAACGAAACGUCGUGUUCUUCCACCUUAGGCCGCUCCAUCGAUCUUCCUAGUUUUGUCUUUUACAUAUAGACCUCCUACUCCAUUCUAGUUUCAUUUCUCUUGCAUGAUUUCAUGUUGGAAUCCCAUUAUCGCACCAACUACAUGCUUGAAUUUCAGGGGGACAGUUCCAUCCUGUAACUGAGCCGAGAAAAGUGUUGUUGAGUUUUUACAUUUUAGAGUUCUCAAACAAUGGUGCAAUCAAACCAAAAGCCCCAUCUUGUAUUACUAUCCGCCCCUGCUCAUCUCCAACCUGUUAUUGAGCUCGGGAAACGCAUUGUCACUUGCCAGGAUGUUAAGGUAACAAUUAUAGUUGCUUCUUUUGUCCAAUCAGCUCCAGCGGAAUCCCGUAUGGUCCAAGCUGCGUUGGCUACAAAACUCUUCGAUGUCAUCCACCUCCCACCAGCUGACAUAUGCAACCUCGUUGAACCUGGUGAUAAGGGAAUCACAUCACUUUCUGCGGCCAUGCAUGUCGUCAAGCCUGAUUUUCAGGCCGCUAUAUUGGGUUUGGAGACUCUGCCAACUGCUCUCGUCGUUCACGUCUUUGCGAUCGAGUGUUUAGGAAUUGCGGAUGAGCUUAAGAUCCCAAAAUAUGUUUUUGUUUCCACAAAUGCAUGGUUUCUUGCUACGAUUGUAUACACUCCGGUUCUAGACAAGGAAGUAGAAGGAGAGUAUGCCGAUAAGAAAGAACCAUUUGCUCUUCCAGGUUGUUCGUCGAUUCGAGCAGAAGAUUUGCCAGAUCCCAUGUUGUUACGAACGAAAGCGAAUUACCGUGAAUUUCUGAAAAUAGGUAUAGAGAUUCCAAAGGCCGAUGGGAUUUUGGUGAACGCAUGGGAAGAAUUGCAGCCUAAAACACUGGCCUCUUUGAGAGAUGGUAACCUCUUGGGUGGUGUUGUUAAGGCACCAAUAUUCCCAGUCGGUCCGAUAAACUCCGAGGGGUCUUCGGCACUGAAGAGCGAGUUAUUUGACUGGCUGGACAAGCAAACUACUGACUCAGUUCUUUACAUAUCUUUUGGAAGUAUGGGAGGGCUCUCACUUGAGCAAAUGUUGGAAUUAGCUUUGGGUUUAGAGUUGAGCCAGCAAAGGUUUAUAUGGGUAGUUCGUCCGCCGAUAGAAAAAUCAGGCAGCGGCUCCGUUCCCAAGUUUGGGAACAUUGGUGACGAUAUGUCGAGUUACUUGCCUGAAGGGUUCAUCUCAAGGACCCGAGACAGGGGAGUGAUUGUUCCACAAUGGGCCCCACAAGUGGAAAUCCUGAGUCAUCCAUCUUGUGGGGGAUUUUUCACGCAUUGUGGUUGGAAUUCAGCAAUAGAAUGCAUCACCAAUGGAUUGCCAAUGAUCGCUUGGCCACUAUACGCUGAGCAAAGGAUGAAUGCUACAUUGCUGACGGAGGAAAUGGGCAUAGCUCUUCGAUCUGAAACCUUACCAUCAAAGGGUGUUGUGGGGAGGGAGGAGAUAGAGAAGAUGGUGAGGAAGAUUUUUGUGGAUGAGGGUGGACGUCAAAUGAGGGCCAGAGUGAAGGAACUGAAACUUAGUGCUGAGACAGCUUGGAGCAAUGGUGGUUCAUCAUAUGAUGCACUAGCUAAAAUGGUGAAACACAGCCAGAAAAAAGCUAUAGAAAUCGAUGUUUAACGGCAAUGUGUGUCUCCAAAAUAAAAUUUGUGGCAAUUAUCAUGCCAAAGGAAUAUUUCCUAGACUCUUUUACCCUUUCAAUUAUUUUUUAUUUACAUUUAUUUUAUUUUUAAAAUCGGAUUAGUUUUAGAAAAUUAGGUCUUUUUUUCUCAAAUUUAGAGAAAUAGACCGAUUUUAAAGAGAAAGAGAAAAUGUUAAUAAAAAAAAAGUAUAGAUGUGGAACAAUAUCAUACUACCACAUCAUCACAUGGAUCCAAAAUUGAGAAAAUUGUCAAGUUUAGGUAUAUUUCAAGGAUUAAGUUGGAAAAAGUUGUCAAGUUUAUGGAUUAAAUGUUGCUUUAUCCCUUUUUAUCCAUAAAUUUGAUAAAAAAAUUCAAUUUCUUAAUAAAAUAAACGAGACAAAGGACAACCUAAUUCAAUAUGGAGGGAUUAGAAUCCGCCAUAAGCAGCUCCCAAACAAAAGGCGGAAGUUCCUCCAGUAGAUGAAAUCGCAAUAACUCUGGAUCUUCAAUUUUGGCCAAAAGAUUUGCCACUGUGUUCUGCACCAGAGGAAUAUGUCUGACACGAACCUCCCAAGAUUGAAUAUGCACGUGAUGUAUCAGUUGGAGCUCUAUCAGUCUACUAUCCGCGGCACCACCAGUAAGAAUAAUCUCAACCAACAGAGUGUUAUCACACUCCAAUUCCAACUUCCAAAAUUCCUUAUUCCAUGCUAAUUGAAGCCCUUCAAUCACCGCCCUUGCUUCAACUUGAAAUAUUGGACCUCCUCCAAUCGACAUUGAAAAACUACAUAGCUACAACCCAUUAGCAUAUCUGAUAACACCUCCAAUAGAGGCACAAGCCCUUUAAGAGAACACAACACCAUCAAUUAAGUUUAACAUAACCCUUUUCAGGAGGCAACCAAUGUGAGCCUACUACCUGAGGGUAAGAAUGAGAAGAUUUGGAAUAUGUUGAUAAACAGUUCUCGUCCAACUUGUGCCUAUAUCCACUAUUUCUUGAAUACAACGGUGAGCAUCUAAGAAAACAAACAUAUUUAGAGUGUUCCAAAGUAGCAAACAAAUAAAAGGAAUUAAACUAUUUUUGUCCAUAUUAGUUCCUGAAUUUAGCAACAUUCUAAUUUUAAGGUCCAUGUGAUGAUGUGACCUUAUGAUAUUGUAUCACAUCAUCACUUAAAUUUUAGGUGAUUACAUGGCACAUGAACAAAAUUUUAAAAAAAAAUUCAUGGACUAAUAUGUAAAAUUUAUGUAACAAAUUAAUCCUUUUUAUUAAAAAUAAAUUCCCACUUAAUUAUUGCGGUGACUCACGCCCCCACCAACUCUCUAGCAGCCAGCCACAAUGGCUCAUUUCAAGAUUCUAGAGGUCACACUACACUCCUUUCCGCCAAAGACCUCCUCAAGGUCUCCAAAAACAUGGAGACCCCUACGGAAUUGUUUGUGUAUCAGAAUAGACCAAACCAGCAGAACACAUUCAGCUUAGAAUAACAAGUUCAUCGGAAUAGACCAAACCAGCAGAACCCGUCCAGCUAGGAAUGACAAGGUCACGUUCCGAGUCGAUGACAAGUUUCUUAGCUCCGAGGACACUAAGAUUGUUGUUGAGUUUUAUGCGACUGUGUGGGUUAAAGAUGCCUUUGAUAGGAUGUGUUUAAGUUAACACCAACGAUAUUUUCCACUUGCGGUCCAUGACCGAUGCUAAGAUUAACAACUCAGCCACGAAUACUGUCACACUUUAAAUCCACCGUCCGUCGGGCCACCCCCAAGAGAUUCUCAGCAUGGAGGUUGCCCUUGUUGAUAGUAUCAUGCGUAGCUUAUUAUACCUUUAUAGCUAAUGAAAUUCAAUCAAACAAUAAAGAUAAGGAGAUUAUAACCAUACAAGACUCGAUAAGUAUUUGCACUAGAAGUAUUACAUUGUAUAUUGAAAUGGAAAUCAAUAAAUAUCAAAAUUUGGAGAGAUUUACAGCAAUCAUAUUCUCCUCAUCUGUGGGUAAUUUUCAAGUAAUUCUUCAACCGACAAUGAAUCAGUUUCAUCUUGUGGGCUCCAUAGCACCUCUACACCCUAAAGGAAAAAAAAGGAGAAUUCACUUACUGGUGACAUCAAUGGUGAAUCCAAAUAAAAGCUUGGAUAUCAUGUGAAGAUUCCCGGUACUAACCUUAAUUUUGCUAGAGCUGAUAUCUGCCAAAUAUUGCAAGGCUUCCUUCACAUUGUCGGUGGUGUUGAUAGUAGGCAGUUUGUGUGCACCUUGAGCUGCCACCAGAACUGUUACCUGUGAAUGAAACAUGUUUGAAGUUGAUGAGAUUGAUACGGGAUUGAAAAAUCCAAAUGAAAUAGCAGAAAGAACACUAGACCCAAACUCGUACCACUAUCCGGUCCUUGUCACCUUUGUCGCCAUUCAGAACAACUGCUCUUUGCCUUUUAAUGUUGUUGACGUUUACCAGUGUCUCUACAUCAAAUUUAAGGCGUUCUUCCUUGGAAAGCCGUUGAAAUUGCUGUUCAGCACUUCCAAUAGUCCAAUGAUGAGUUACCUAUAAGGCAAAAAAGACAUCAGUCACAAUGAACUAGUUAAUGUCUAGUUUUGAUGGGUCUAAAAUUGACUAGUGUUGUCCCCUUUUACUUUAAUUUGUCAGACAUUGUUCUUCACCAAAACUGAAAAUUUAGACAUUGUUAAACUUUGCUGUUAUAUCACUGACUUGGAAAUCAGCAGUUUCACAAUUUAUAUGUAAGUAAUUAGCAAAAAUCAAUAAUUCAACAAUUUAUAUGUGACACAGAAGCAAAAAUCAGCAGUUCAAGUUCAUGUGAUUAUCAACACCUGGACUAACUUCUAGGUUUUAGUGAAGUACCAGAUUUUGAUAAAUUAGAGGGACUAACUUAUCAAUUUUCGAGAAGUAAAGAGAAAUUCAAAAUCAGAUCAGUUUUAAUGUUCAAUAGGCUCAUUAAUGGCACAUUUUUCUAAUACACAGGAACUGAGAACUGCAACUUUGGGGCAAUCUACUAGUUGGAACAAGAACAGUAAAGUUUUUAAGCUGAUUAAAGCCUGCAACAAAUCAUGAUGAUAUGAAGUACGAGGCACCAUUAAGUAUGCAAGUUGGACUUACAGAUGAAUAGCCAUGAAGAUAGCAAUGUGGAUGGUGAAGCAAUGAUGAUACAGUUUCUGAAUCCAAAAACAGAAGAUGAAAAAAACACAAAAAUUAGAUAAAAUUCUAGCAACAUCGCGCUUCCAAUAACUCCUGUAGAAUUGAAUUAGCAUUUCAGUGCUUGUCAAGUACAUCUUGAUUCGCAAGGACAUUCUAGAGUUUUACAACAGAGUAGUGGAGUAGCAUAUUAUCAUGUUUCAUGUCAUGAGGAUCAUUUUGUUGUUUACAAAAACCAAGGCUAAUGAGACCUUGACUGAAAUAGCAAAGACCGAGACCCUGAGACCUUUAGCACCCAGGUUAGAGUCUCACUUGUGCAAAUUGUGUAUAGGUCAGUUAGUUAUUCAAUUCAGUGCUUGUAAGUUGUAACUUCAAGGGGGAAAAAGAAAAAGGAAAACCUUCUAAUAUGAUGUUCCAGCCCUUUGCAGUAGAAGUGUCCGUUGUGGAGGCAAUUUCGGUGAGUUCCUUUUGCAAUGAACGGGCUUUCGCGGACAAGCCAACCUGAAGAAAAGAGGAAGGAAGCAUUUGGUGUACUUCCUAUAAGAAGAUUGCAUCGUAUAUAAACACGCAAAUUAAAAAAAUAAAGGAAUCCCACUCCUUUUGCCUUUAAAAUUUUUCUCAAGCACCAACUAGCAAAUACAAAAUGGAAAUCAAUUUCAUCAAGAAAAACAGCAACAAUUAAAUAAUGAGGGCAGUUUCAUUGUUUUGGACCCAAAGCUAACAUGAGAUCAACCUAUUGGGACAGCCUUGACUGAUAUAAUGGAAGGGUUUUUCAUUAUAAGAAGAUUUUCAAAAGCACCAAGUAUUUUCAGCCUUUUAAGUCUAUAAUGGAUGCUCAAUUAUAUGCAAAUUGUAUACAUAAAAUUUUAAUUUUAAUAACAAACCAUUAGAGCUUGUUACCGACAUAUAGCAGCACCAUUUUAAGUUACUUAAUAAAAUACAAAUAAUUAUACUAACCCAAGGCAUUUUUUUUAAUCAAAAUCAGAGUUUAAUGCAUAUACAAUUAAACCAAAAAUCAAAAUCUCAUUUAUAUAAUUGCAUCAAAUCGAAGUUCAAUUAUAGCAUUACAAAUUGGAUCUAUAUCUCUAAAUCAGUUGAGGGUAUGUUCAUCUUUUAGUUAAAUGAUAAUGAUAAUAAUAAUAAAAUUUGUUGAUUAAGAAUAGUAAAGCAAGAAAUUUGAGCAUUACCUGAACUUGAAGAAUACUUGUUCGAUUUUGCACGGUGCUACUAUAUACAAUAACUGAAGCUACUCCCAUGAAAAUGGUUAAAAUUAAAUAAGAAACAGCCGCCGACGCAGGUCCACUCUCUUGAUCGACGCUCCUCGGGAAACCAGGCUGGGAAUGAUGAUAAUGAUGAUGGUGACGGUGAUGAAGAUCAUGAUGAUCGUAAUGAUGAUAAUCAUCAUCAUUACGGUGUGAUGGCGGGCUCUCUGAAGAGAAAGAAGAGCCACCCAUCCGACCACCGCUAGCAGCGGAGACUUCAUAUAGGUGGUGGGAUAAUAGUAAGGUAACAACAACAGCAAGAAUGGAGAGCUUUGGGAAACUCUUGAAAGCCAUUAUUUUGGGGAAGAUGAGAUUUCGAGUUUUUCUUUGUAUUUUGAAAGCUUAAUGGAGUGGGUUUUGGAAUCUCGAUUUUAGGGUUAUAUGUAUAUAUAUUAUUAUAUACAAUUGAAGUACGCGUUUUCACAUGAGAAUUUCCUUAAUUUUCUGGGAAAAACUUUGCUUCCAAUAGAGGCGGUCAUGGUUGGAUGAAGGUGAAGGGUUCCUCCAAAAAGGAGAGAUUUAGAUAAAAAUAUAGUUUUAAAAAUAAGUUUAAAUAAAAAAAUUUAAAGAUUUUUUAAAUAGGUUGAGCUUCCAAUAAAUUUUAUUGGUUUGGAUUUAAUUUAGCUCGAAUUUAUAAAAAAAAUUAGUUUUUUUUCCUUAAUAUUAUAAAAAAAAUUUAUACAUGAAAAUAAGUUAUCAAUCAGAUUAAUUACGAAAAUAGUAUAUUUUUUUAGAUAGUACCUACCUGACAGGCACAACUAAUUUUUUUAAUAUUAAAUUUUUUUCGUUUAAAAAAUUAUUAUUAUAUUAUUUUUUUAAUAUUUAUAUUAAUAUAUAUGUAAAAAUACGGGUUUUAUAAGGGUAAAAAAAUACCCGAAACGGGUCGAGCCUGUCAAGUAGGCACGACUAGUCGUGCUUGACAGGUAGGCAUGACACCCCCACUGCUGCUGCUGCUCCACCUGCUUUUGCUGCCCCUGUAUGCUGCCCAUUUUUUCUCCAUGCAUGAGUUAUAUCACUCAUGGGAAAAAAAAUUUUAUGGGGAUCUUAUAAGUAUGGUCCCCCCAUAUUGAAGCAGCCACCGAUUGUGAGAAAGAAAUGAGAGAAAAGAGAAGGAAGAAGAAGAAGAAGAAGAAGAAGAAGAAGAAAAAAGGGUAAUGUAUUAUUUUAGUAAUUUGUUAUAAAAUUAUAGUGUUUUGUGAGUUUUUAGCAAUGUAAUUUUUUUAAAAAAAAUUGUAUAAUUAUUUUGUUAGUAGUUUAUGAUUAAGUUAUAAAUUAUUAGUUUUUUGUAUUUUGUUAUAGUUAUUUGUUUUGUUAAUAAUUUAUAGGAUUAGGUUACAAAUUGUUAGUGUUUAGUGUAUUAGUGUAUUGUGAUUUUUUUAGUAAUAAUAUAUUUUAAAAAAAAUAAUUUUAUAGUUGAUUAGGUUAUAUAAAUUGUUAAUGUUUAGUAGUUUAGUGUAUUAGUGUAUUGCGAUUUUUUUAGUAAUAUAUUUUAAAAAAUAAUAAUUUUAUAGCUAUUUUAUUAGUAAUUUAAGAUUAAGUUAUAUAAAUUGUUAGUGUUUAGUGGUUUAGUGUAUUAGUGUAUUGUAAUUUUUUUAGUAAUAUAUUUUAAAAAAAUAUUUUAUAGCUAUUUUCUUAGUAAUUUAAUAUUAGGUUAUAUAAAUUGUUAGUGUUUAGUGGUUUAGUGUAUUAGUAUAUUGUGAUUUUUUUUAGUAAUAUAUUUUAAAAAAUAUUUUUAUAGUUAUUUUAUUAGUAAUUUAAGAUUAUGUUAUAUAUUGUUAGUGUUUAGUGGUUUAGUGUGUAUUAGUGUUAUUGUGAUUUUUUUUUAGUAAUGUAUUUAAACAAAUAAUUUUAUAGUUAUUUUGGGUUAGUAUAUGAUUAUAACUUGUGUUUAUAGUUUAGUGUUUGUGAUUUUUCAAUGUAAUUUUUUAUAUAUGUAAUUUUAUAUUAUUAUAUAUUUAUUUGAUAAUUUUUAUUGAUUUAUUAAAAUGUUGAUUAAUUUGUUGUUAUAUAAUUUUAUAGGUUAUGUGAAAGUUCUUCUAAUUAGGUAUGUUUCUAGUCCCUUUUUUUAAUUAGUACGUUUUUUAUAUUUAGAUAGUUUAUAUGUUUUUAAUUAUAUUAUUAUUGUUAUCUAACCUAAAAAAAAUUGUAGGUAAAAAAUGAGAAAUUAUGAGAUAUUUACCGUGUUUGUUUCUAAAAUUUGAAAUAAUUUAUUAUAUCUUUUGAAAUAAGAAAAAAUAAAUUCAAUUUUUUUAUUGCAGAUUUGUAACAAAUGGGUUCUUUAAUUGAUAAUACAAAUCACAUAUCAAGUACCAUUAAGGAGAUUGUAAUAAAAUUUUUAUUUCAUAGUCAUGUUAUUUGUUGAAUUAAAUUAUAUUGUAUUAACUAUUUCGCUAAUAUAAUAAUGUCAGGAGCCGUACCGCGUAUUGAGAGGCCGUGUUAAUAGUAUAGGGUUUCAGCCAGAUAAACGCCUAAUACCGUUCUUGGAGUUUGCCGGGUUCGGAUCAGCAGCAUUGAUCUGGACUUUUGAUCUACGAUAUGACUUGAUUUCCACUUUAGUCGAGCGAUGGCGUCCGGAGACCCACACAUUUUAUUUGCCGUGCAAGGAGUGCACCAUCACUCUAGAAGACGUUGCAGUACAACUCGGGCUCCCCAUCGACGGGAAUGCAGUCACAGGCGUAAGUUCGAUCUCCAAGCCGGCAACCCUUUGCUAUGAAUUACUUGGACGCUCACCAAGUGAGGGGAAAUUUGCCAGUUUAAGGUUGUCAUGGAUAAAGGCCAAUUUUGAGUAUUUGCCGAGUACUGCCAAUGAACGGAAGGUGAUGCAGGCCGUUCGAGCUUACAUUAUGCACCUUAUAGGGGGUGUACUUAUGACAGAAUCAAACGGCAGUACUGUUCACUUAAUGUACUUACCCCUAUUAUCUAAUUUGCAUAACACCCGUUCAUACAGUUGAGGGUCCGCAGUGUUAGCCAUGUUGUAUCGAGAACUUUGUCAGACGACAGAUCCUUCUGCGAUGGACAUAGGCGGACGCCUCAUACUACUGCAGUCGUGGGCACUUUACCGGAUGCUAUUCUUGGCAUCAAUUAGUCACCAAUCAUAUAUAUUUCUACUCGUUAAUAUGUGAUGAAUUUUUAUGCGUUAUAACAAUUAGUUGACUUUUUUUUUCGGAUUAUGUUGUUCUAACAAUUUUUUUCUUAGAUGGAGCACAAAUCCGGGUAUCGGAAGGUCAUACACGGUUCUGAUAUACCGUCUGAUGAUCCAGAAUCAUUCUGGAGAGGGGGUAAGUUUUUCCAAUAUCAAUUUUAUUUUAUUAUUUUAUUUCACUCGACCUACGUUAAUAUAAAAAAUAUGAUUAACUGUGCAGUUCAUUUGGAUGCCGUAUUCUGUUCUAGAAAUUAUGACUGUUAUUCCCUUGUCUGCCCGCGUCCACUCAAACUUAUGGUGCAUUAGCGCACCCGUUAUCAAUUUUCAGAUAGUGGAGUGGUAUCAUGGCGAUCGAGUACUUCGGCAGUUCGGUUGCAUUCAAUUACAAAUGAUAGUCAUCAUUCCCCCGGUUGAAGAACGUAAUUAUAAUAGUAAAUGAAAUACAUAAUAAAUCCAAGUUAAGUAUGUAUGAACACAAAUAGUCAUGCUUCACCCGGAGUAAGUAUGUAAAUUGUAUAUAAACAUGUGCUUCGAAGGCGAAUUUUGGAUUUGCUUGGGUUAAAGUGCAUAAUUGCAAAAAAAAGAGGAGUAUUAAAACAAUCAAUUUUAAAAUGCUUAAAAAAUCCAUUUAAUGCUACUCGGCGGGACUUUUUCUUCCAACAUGUAAUUAACAAAAUCUUAAUUUCUAUCCGACCGCGACGAUUGUCCAAUAUGGUAGUUUCGGAGCGGGCAUUUAUUCUGAUUAUGACCGGGUAAUCUACAUACUCCACACAACUUCCCAUCAGAUUUCUCUUUAAUGUCCAUUUCGUUACGGAUUUUAGAUGAUUGCGGACGACCUUUUGGGUUCUUACGCAACCCUUUGUUUGGGAUAAGCUCGAAUGUCGUCGAAGGAACCUUCCAAGUAGAUAGGUCAGGAAGUAAGGGAAACUCAUUCUCCCAUACACGCAACGUGCAUUCAAGGGUAUACACUUCAUUGAUAAAUUGAUCUACAUUGAGCGAGACUUUAGCACAAGUUGCUACAACAUGUGCACAAGGAUAAUGAAGUGUCUGAAACCUCUUAUAAUCGCACUGUCUAUUUCGGAGAUCAACUCCGUAAGACCUAGGUGGUAUACCGGGUCGACGACCGAUGGUUUCUGUAACGCGAAACGUUUCAUUACGUCGUGAAUAUACUUCUACAUUCAUCGACCUCGCCAUCCGAUGGUUUGCAACCAUUGCAUCCCUGACAUAUUCGACAAACACGUGUCCUGCCUCCAUCUGGUUGACUUGUUGCUGACCCAUUCUUGGCAUCAAGGUAGCCAACCUGUAGAAUGUAGUCGAGAAGACAGAUGAAAUCGAAAGAUGUCGUGUUUUCAAUAACACAGCGUUGAUGCCCUCCACCAAAUUUAUUGUCAUUUGACCAUAACGAAAGCUCUCGUCAAAACUUUGAGCCCAUUGCUACGGCUCUAUGGUACCCAACCAUUGUCGGAAAGAUGUGUUCGUUUGACCUUUCAUGUCAUUCUCAAGUCGAGUCAUCCUUUGCCGAAAAAUGUGUGGCUCAAGCUCGUACACUAUGUAUGUAUUAAGAAAAUAUAAGUUACAGUCUUAUCACAAAACAUUAGGUUAUAUAUUAAAAGGAUAAGGUUAUUCUUUACCCAUUUUCACAACUUGUUUCUUCCAGUCUGCAUUCUUAUAAUCUCGAUGGAAGUUAGACGCAAUGUGCUGUAUGCAGUAAACAGAUCUCCAUGGCACACCGGAACGCCUAAUGACGGCAAUUAAUCCUUUCCUUCUAUCAGAGAUGAUGCAAAUACUAUCAUUACUAAUAACAUACCUCCGAAGGUUUGUAAGGAAGAAUUCCCACGACUCUAUAUUCUCUUUAUCUACGAUGGAAAACGCAAUCGGGAGCACGUUAUUGUUCCCAUCCUGAGCAAUCGCAAUAAGUAAGAUCUGUGUAUAUUUACCGUAUAGCCAUGUCCCAUCUACUUGCACAAACUGCUUGCAGUAGGUAAAUGCACGUACACAUGAUCAAAUGUCCAGAACAUCCGUUGAAAAAUUCUUUUUUUAGGUUGUAGUUGCUCAUCCAGGCCGUAAUAAGGUCGUGUCUGUAACUCAAUGGCAGUCCCUGGUACGUACUCCCUCAUAGCGGCAAUCCAUCCCUACAACUCAUUAUAUGAUGCAUUGAAAUCUCCGUACAAUUGCUCAAUUGCCAUAUGUUUAGCUAUCCAUGCCUUCCGGUAUGACACUCAAUACUGGAAUCGUGCCUGUAUUUCGGCAAUAAGUACCGAAACUUUAAUGGUCGGCAUGUCUUCAACCAUUGGCAUGAUGCACGUACAGAUAGUUUUGGAAUCAAGUUUUCGAUGAUCUUCUAUCAUACGUGAUGAAGUGCAUGUGUGAGGCCCAACAAAUUUUCGUAUCUCCCACAUCUGUGACUUUUGGAUAAAUGCAGCUCGUAUCCGCCAAUUACAACCUUCCGCCGACUUCUAACACUUUCCAAUAUAUAAUGUCGGUUUAGACACGACGACUUUAUAGUCUAUUGAUAUAUUCAUACUAUACCGUUUAAUGGCAAAUACGCACUCUUCCUUAUUUUUGAAUCUCUGGCCCACGAACAACUCCUCAGGAUCAGAAUAUACAGCCAUCCGAUGAGUAGAUUAUAUUUCAGGGUACUCUGGAAACUCGGCUACAUGCGCUGCAUUGGAGUCUAUCCGAGACAUGUGUGUCCCAGGAUUAUUACGUAUCAUAAUACGACGAAUCUGGUUCCCAAUUGAAGACGCAUUAACAUUUACUUCCUCAUUCACACCUUCAUCAUCAAUAUCAUCCGGAACCUCAUCCACGUCGGGAUCACUUUCACUAUCGACUUCAUGAUCAGAAGGAUCACUACUAUGGUAUACAUCAUCACCAACCACAGCAGUCUCGGGUGCAGCAUUAAGAUCAAUGUCGAUCCCAUGUAUAGUUGAUUGACUACCAACGUAUGAUACCGGAACCACCAUACACGAUUCUUGAGCUCCAUUUUCUUUACCUAAUGGAGUGGGAUCUUCAGUUUCCUUCACACCAGCUAACUCAACAAAUAACUGAAUCGGUGCAUUUUGGUUGCUCCAAGUCCCACAAUAAAGAGCGACCAUUGUCUCCACGUCUUCAUCGUCUACAAGUUCCAUUUUGGUGAAUUUUAUGGGAUCCGUCGAAACUGGGAACUUGUAGAAAAGUUUCGAGAUCCUUCUCCUACAAUGUUUAUAAAUUUUUUCACUAAUUUUUUCUUUCAUAUCAUCAAAAGAGAUAUUUCUAUUGAAUCUCAUUGCCACUUGUUUGCGACAUUCAAAUAUACAUCCUACGCUUAUUGUCAAAAUUUCUCCAUCAAAAUUAACGCAUACGAAAAACUGAUUCUCCAUAUUCAAUACUAGAUCUGUUAAAAAAAUUUCAAAAUUCUCAAAAUAGUUUCGAAUAGCGAAAAAGUUACAUAAAAUUUUUAAUGCAAAAUUUUUCAUUCAGAAGCUAACAAAAUUAUUAAUCUAACAAACUUUUAAAUAAUAAAAUUUCUAACAAAAUUCUACAUUCUAUUUAAAAAUAAAUAAAUUAAAAUACAUUAUCCUUCUUCUUGCUUUCCUUUCUUUCCUUCUUCUCCCUCUCUUCUUACUUCUAUUUUGCUGCUAAAUUUUCUGUAUGUUCUUCAUCUGAUUUUCGGGGGAAUAUAUAGGGGAAAAAUUAAGCAUGUGGCCCCUACUAGUUGCGCCUACCAAGAAGACACAACUAGUCGUGCCUGUCAGAUAGGCUCAACUAAUUGAGCCUUUCAGAUAGGCGCAACAUGUAUGUAUGCUUAUCACGUCCAUAUACACGGGUUGUAUACUAACCCGAAAAAAAUAUAUAUAAUAACUUUUUAAACGAAAAAAAAUUUAAUAUUAAAAAAAUCGGUUGUGCCUGUCAGUGAGGCACGACCUAAAAAAAUACUAUUUUCAUAAUUAAUCUGGCUGACAACCCAUUUUAGUGUAUAAAUUUUUAUUUAUAAUAUUGAGGUAAAAAAGCCAAGAAAAUUAUUUAUUUUAAUGAGUCGAGCUUCUAAUAAGUUGUAUGUAAAAUUUAUUUUUAUAUAAAAAAGAACAUAAAAAAUUUAAUACAGUCUAUCUGGAUCGUGUUCAAAUUUUAAUAUUUUUAUUUAGACUGAAUUUAAGCAAAAUUUUAGAUCUGGAUCGAACUUGGACCAAAAAAAUAGGCUUGAAUUUUUUACUUGAACCUAUUUUUUAUUUGAAUUUUGACAGGUCCAAAAUGGAUGUAAUUAAAAACAAAUUAUAAACCCAAGAUUUUAGUACUUAAAUUUUAAUUCUAUUUAUCAAUCUGGUACUUCUUUUUAACCGUGUUAAAAUCUGACAUCAAUUUUUGAUGAUACGACAUUAUGAUCGAUAAUAACGUGACAUGUGGCAAUUUUAUUUUACAACAUCAGUAUCAAUAACAGUAACAUGGUUAAUAACAAUUAAAUGAAAAAUUGAAAAUGGUUCAGAUUAAAACUCACAGAUGUGCAAUUUCGCGCAUUAGAACUAAAAGAUGAGCACAUAAAACCCGAUAUCAAUAUCACUGAGGCUUCAUUGGUACUAAACAUUGUUUUUCAAACCUAAUAUAAUAUAAUAUAAUAUAAUAUAGGAUAAACUAUACAAUUAGUUACUCAAUUAUGAGUAAAUUUUUGUUUUGAUCGUUUAACUAAAAAUAGUUAUGCUUUGGUCACUAACAUAUUUAAUUUUUUUUUUUGCCACUUGAUUGUUAAGUGGCUAACGAUGACACUUUUUUAGUUGGUAUAAUAAUAAUUUUAAAUCUCAUAUUUUAUAUUUUCUAUCAAUUUGAUCCUAAUUCUAUAUAAAAAUAAUAAAAGACUUGAAUUCUAAAACUUUUCUAAAAAUACAUAGAAAAUUUAAAAUUUAAAUAAAAAUUCAUAAAAAUUUCAAAAGUAGAUAAAGUGAGAGAAAAUGAGGAAAAAAUUAAAAUUUCUUGCAAUAUAUUUUUUAAAAUAACAUCUAAAUUUCAACAUGUCGUCAAAGUCAUAUAUAUGUAUAAAUUAAUACAGAAUUAUAACACAAAUUUGUAUUUAAAAAUAAUAUAUAAUAUUUCACCAAAAAAAUAACAUAUUAUAAAUGAUGAAAUGUGUUAAUAAUACAUGAAAUAUGUACUAUAUUAAAAUAAAUAAAUUAGAUUAAAUUGUUAGUAAAACGAAAUUUAAACACAUGAAUACAUCAAAUUAAGAUUAUUAAAUGAAUACAAUUAUUUAUCAUUAUGUUGUCAUCAGUCCUAAUUUGGUGUCAAGUUAAUUUGUGAUACCAUCAUCUCAAUCAACAAGAUCAUUAAUAUUUUAUCACAUGUGCAUGCGUGUUUAAAAAUAACUUAGGAUAAAUAACAAAAUGUACGGUUUGAAACUGAUUAACAAUAAAUGAAAUAUGUAUAAUAUUAAAAUAAAAAUAAAUUAAAUUACAAGUAAAAUGAAAUAUGCCCAACUGACUCAUGACACCAACUCAGUGAGUGGCUUAGUAAGUAUAUAUAUACACAAAAAAAAAAAAAUUGAUGGAGGUAAUAAAAAGUGCAUAUUAAAAUAAAAAUGUAUACAAAAUAUCAAAAUAAAGUUUUAGUUGAGUGAUAAAUUUAAAAUUUUACUAAUCUAAUUUGUAAGAGUUCAGAUCUUAAUUUUUGCAUUUUUUGUUGGUUUUUAAAAUAAAUAAAAAUCUCUCAAGUAAUAUAACUUAUUUUAAUUACAAGAAGAUAUUUUCAUAAAAUCUCUAAUUAAAUUGGUGCUUGGUUGACUUGUGACACCCGAUUACACAAACUCAAUAAAAAACUAGAUACUAACAGUUAAAAUAUUUAUAUAAAGGUUAAAUUGUGUUACUAGUCCUUGUAGUUGUACAUAACUAUUAUUUUUGUUGAUAGUUUUGUCAGAAUUUAUAAAAUUUUAAGUUGACAAAAAUUUUAAAAAAAAAUAUUGAGGGUAAAAAACCGUUACAGCUUUUUCAGGUCGAAGCGUUUUUCUUAUUUUAUAUAGUUAAAAAGGUAGAACUCUAGAAACAUACCGUAUCAAAUUCAGUAGGAAGCUUCCUUCAUUUGGAAAUUUAAAGCUAGAUGAGUUCUGAAUGAAUAAUUUACAACCACUUGUGCUAAAACAAUUAGGACUUUCAAAUGUUAAAUGUAAUUAAUAUGUAUUACAAAAAUUAUUAAUUUAAUACCACUUGUGAUCAAACAAUUUACUAAGCUAAAAAAAUCUAUGAAGACGAACACAUUGACAAUCCUACUCAACUUCCUGGUAUCCUGUUUGCAUUUCCUCCAGCAGUUUUGGUGCCAUGUCCCGACCCUGAAACCGGCUUUCACUAGAAGGCGAAGGGUACAACAUAAUCCCUGUUCACAAUCUCGAUGCCAAUCAUCCCUGCGUUCGGUACCCUGAAGUACGCGCUGUCUUAUUAUCUUUACGCGCCUUGGGUAACCUCAGCGAGCC